rnacentral:rRNA from 1 species
AGAACGAACGCUGGCGGCAUGCCUAAUACAUGCAAGUCGAACGAACACUUCGGUGUUAGUGGCGCACGGGUGCGUAGCGCGUGGGAAUCUGCCCUUGGGUUCGGAAUAACAGUUGGAAACGACUGCUAAUACCGGAUGAUAUCGAAAGAUCAAAGAUUUAUCGCCCAGGGAUGAGCCCGCGUAGGAUUAGCUAGUUGGUGAGGUAAAGGCUCACCAAGGCGACGAUCCUUAGCUGGUCUGAGAGGAUGAUCAGCCACACUGGGACUGAGACACGGCCCAGACUCCUACGGGAGGCAGCAGUAGGGAAUAUUGGACAAUGGGCGCAAGCCUGAUCCAGCAAUGCCGCGUGAGUGAUGAAGGCCUUAGGGUUGUAAAGCUCUUUUACCCGAGAUGAUAAUGACAGUAUCGGAGAAUAAGCCCGGCUAACUCCGUGCCAGCAGCCGC